UACAGAGGUCUCGAGCGUUAGGCGGAAUCACUGGGCUUAAAGCGUGUGUAGGCGGAUCGGUAAGUACCUUGUGAAAUCCCACAGCUUAACUGUGGAACUGCUUGGUAUACUGCCAGUCUUGAGCCAGCUAGGGGCUACCGGAACAAAUGGUGGAGCGGUGAAAUGCGUAGAUAUCAUUUGGAACGCCAAUGGUGAAAACAGGUAGCUGGGGCUGUGCUGACGCUGAGAACACGAAAGCCAGGGGAGCAAACGGG
rnacentral:rRNA from 1 species